rnacentral:misc_RNA from 1 species
GAUGAAGAACGUAGUGAAAUGCGAUAAAUAAUGUGAAUUGCAGAAUUCAGUGAAUCAUUGAGUCUUUGAACGCACAUUGCGCCCCCUGGUAUUCCGGGGGGCAUGCCUGUCCGAGCGUCAUUGCUGCCCUCAAGCACGGCUUGUGUGUUGGGCCCCCGUCCCCCCCUCCCGGGGGACGGGCCCGAAAGGCAGCGGCGGCACCGCGUCCGGUCCUCGAGCGUAUGGGGCUUUGUCACCCGCUCUGUAGGCCCGGCCGGCGCCUGCCGACCACCAUCAAUCUUUUUUCAGGUUGACCUCGGAUCAGGUAGGGAUACCCGCUGAACUUAAGCAUAUCAAUAAGCGGAGGA